ensembl:miRNA
UGGUCGCCUCAGAAUCUCACUUUUUGCAGAUAAUGGGGUUCUGUUGGCUUCAUC